CUCGCUGGGCUCAUAACCCAGAGGUCGUAGGUUCAAAUCCUGCCCCCGCUA
rnacentral:tRNA from 1 species